GAACAGUAAUCAAUCACUAUUGAUGGAUGUCGAUGAUGUACAUAUUUAUAUCCCUGGAAGGGACGGGUCACAUAGGCGCGACGUUUACAAGCGAUGGAUCGAAAGAACGCGUUUGUUACAAUAGGACGUGACCCAUCAGGAGAGCAAACCGCAUGUUGGUUUUUUAAGCAGGGAUUUCCUCUAAUUAAACUAACUAAUUAAUCCUAACACUCCCCAUAAUCUCUGCUUCAAUUAUACUUGUAAACAUCAUCAUCAACAUCUUGAUCACCAUCAUCAUGAUUAGUCUCCUCCAAAAACCCUGUAGGAAAAAUAUGAGGAGAUAUAUACAAUAUGCCAUCAAAAACUCUUUCCAAAAACCAAGUGGGAAAAUAAGAAGAAACUGACAUAUCACAAUGCCUGCAUUACUAUUGCCUCAUUAAAAACCCUCCAUAAGAAACCACUUAUGAAAACUUAUAAAGGAAAAGAGUGCAAUAUCAUAGAUCCGAGGAUCACAAAAAGAUUAUCAUUCAGGGACACACUCCCCCUAAACUUUGCAAGUCUCGAAGUCGUUUCAUACCAAUUCCUUUGAUGUACUUCUCAAAUAAAGAACUUGGCAAUGACUUUGUAAACAAAUCAACAAGAUUAUCACAUGACUUUGUUUGCAAAAUAUGUAUCUCCCCAGUUUUCGUAACUCAUGGGGAUAAAA
rnacentral:lncRNA from 1 species